GACGAACGCUGGCGGCGUGCCUAACACAUGCAAGUCGAACGGAAAGGCCAUGCUUUUGUGGGGUGCUCGAGAGGCGAACGGGUGAGUAAAACGCGAGUAAAAUGCCCUUGACAUUGGGAUAACUUCAGGAAACUGGGGCUAAUACAGGAUAGGAGCUCCUGAUGCACGGUGGGGGUUGGAAAGUUUCGGCGGUUGGGGAUGGACUCGCGGCUUAUCAGCUUGUUGGUGGGGUAGUGGAUUACCAAGGCUUUGACGGGUAGCCGGCCUGAGAGGGUGACCGGCCACAUUGCGACUGCGAGACGGCCCAGACUGCUACGGGAGGCAGCGGGGGAAAAUAUUGCGCAGUGGGCGGAAGCCUGAGGCAGCGGCGCCGCGUUCGGGAUGACGGCCUUCGGGUUGUAAACCGCUGUCGCCUGAGACGAAGCGUGAGUGACGGUAAUGGGUAAAGAAGCACCGGCUAACUACGUG
rnacentral:rRNA from 1 species